UGGAAACAAAGCUGCAAUAUAGACUCUGGUCAAGAAUGUGGGCACAAAGACAAAGUGUGACGUUGUAAACAAGUGCGAGCUCUUUGUUCCUUCAUGAGGACAAGAACUGUGGAACUCAAGCUCAACAGCAUGCAGUGGGCUGCCCAAGUGUCCCAAUCGAUAGGUGCCAAGUGACUACAGAAGGACAGAGAAAGGCAGCAUCAGAGGCAAGAAAACCACAAGCAGCCUCGGGAGUCACAGGGCCGAGCCCAUCCCUCGACCCUGUUGAUGACUGAGCUGGCUUGGUCAGAUGCCACUUUCAACUCUGGAGCUUGAAUCCGAUGGAUACAGUGAAGAACACCGCAGCAAAAGGAAGCACAUGCAAAGGAAAAUUUGGGCCAGCAGUAAAUAACCCUUGUAAAAAGGGACAAGGUAAUGCAGAAUGCCUUUUGUGUAUGUGUUUAGUUAUGUUAAAAUCUAGAGAAGCGAAGAUAAUUCUCAUAGAUGAUUUUAGUCUUUAAACCUUGAUUAGAGAUAGUUUAGACCCUAGACACAAGAGGGAGAAUUUGAGAAAAGCAGUCCUCCACACUGCUUUUAGAGAAAGAGAAGGAAAAGGAAUGUAAGCUGUUCCAGAGCUCUCCUAGGGACAGGAGGAGGUCGGGAUACGUCCUUCUCUCUGGCUACCAAUGGGGCAAUGCUUAGUUCUGGUUCUGGGUCCCUUAGGUAGCACAUCUGGUUUUCUCCCCCCUCUGUCUAUUGUCUGUCCUUGGUAUACCAUCUGUCCAUGUCUGUCAGUUGAUGUUUUUGUUUCAUUGCUUGAUUGUUGCUAUGUUUCAUAUCCAAAAGAAAAAUGGUUAAAACUUUACCUGCUAAUCAUUUGCCCCUUGACUUAGUUUUAACUUAUUUAAAAAAAAAAAAAAAAAAAAAAAAAAGCAGUCUCAACUGACAGGACAGAACUGACAAACUACCUUAGGAGCCUGCACCUGUAGCUAGGAGUCCAGCACAGUUGGAGAAGCCCUGCCAGGGCUGGCUGGCUAUACAAGCCAGUCUUAAAGGGGCCAGCAACUUCUUGGCUUCUCUGGAAAGGAAGCUAAUGACUAUUUUUCCUACAAAAAAAAAAUCUCUGUGGCUGAGAUUAUUGGCUUCUUGAAAUUACAGCUAGAAAAAGUUUUGACUAGUCUAAAGACAUAAAAGUGUGUAGCCACUUCAUGUUGGUUUCUGACUAAUCCUAAAUGUAUAAAUAUGUUCUACAUGGAUUGGUUAUAGAUUAUUGGCUGAUAAGUUAUUGGGUAUGAUUAAAAAUUUUAUAAUAUUGGUAAUAGAAAGUUAGCUUAAAACUGGUAACUCAGGGUUGAAGCCAUUCUGGGCAACAACACAUGGCAUGUGCCAACCCAGGGAAAAAGUUCUCUAAAGAUACCUUUAAAUUAGAAUAUAUUUUAUGUAAUUCCUAUCGUAGGAAUCAGACUUAUAAAUAUAGGAUUUGAAAUAAUGUUUCUUUAAUGAUAUAUUAAAAGCUGCACCAUCAUGCAUUCACAUACAAGAACUGGCAGCCAAACUUUGUAACAUGAAAGCAAUGUAUUUAGUACUGAUUUUAGAAAGACUAGAUUGUUUACAUUGUUAAAAAUUGAUUUUGCCGGGUUGGGGAUUAGCUCAGUGGUAGAUAGAGCACUUGCCUAGCAAGCGCAAGGCCCUGGGUUCGGUCCCCAGUUCCGAAAAAAAGAAAAAAGAAAAAAAAAUUGGUUUUGCUUUCCAAAAUUAUGGUUAUGCUCUCAUAUGGCAAAAGAAACUUUUUAAACUGAUAGUUGUGUGUGUGUGUGUGUGUGUGUGUGUGUAGUGGAACAUUGGCAGUUUGCAAUCCAAUCACAAAAGCCUGAUGAAAUAUUUAUUCCUUAUUCCAAACAGCAAGAAAAUUGGUUAUUGCAGAAUACUGCAUUUGACCUAUUGCAUGUGCAAACGUUUUAGACAAAAUGGAUAAUCAUUAACCAGAAGUCGUUCCAAUUUGCCUCUAUGCAUGCUUUUCUCAAAAUAGUAAUAGCUUCAGACAUCUUGAUAUUUUUAGAGAAUGUGCAUGUCAAAUUGUAAAGACUUGUCCUCAAUGUCUUCAAUUUCUUUCUAUACCACAUAACAGUGUUAAUCCUUGAGCACUCGUACCUUAUCAAUUAUGGCAAAUGGAUGUUAUUCAUAUUUCUGAUUUUAGAAAAUUAAAAUAUGUAUAUGAAUAUUGGCACCUUUUCAGGCUUUCUUGUAGCAACUGUUUUAACAGAAGAAGCAACAAAAAAUGUAAUUACCCAUUAUUUGUGUUGUUUCUCUAUGCUGGGUAUACCAAAUCAGAUUAGAACAGAUAAUGGAACUGGCUAUUGAGUCAAACAUUUGAGACAUUUUGUUGAUGAUUUAAUAUUACCCAUAUUACUGGAACUCUUUAUAAUACUCAAGGACAAGGUAGUGUGGAACAAGCCCAUAGAGUCUCCCAAAAAAAAUCAGUUACAUAAAACAAAAAAGGGGGAGUUGUAUACUCCUUCACCACAAUCUUUUAUUUCUGCAAAUUUUUUUUUUUGUUUUGUUGGUGUAGUUUUUAUUUUGUAGGAAGGAUACAGGGGCAAAGUUUGGGUUUGAGGGGACCAAUGCAGAACUGGGGUACAUGAUGUGAAACGCACAUAGAAGCAAAAAAAAAAAAAAAGCGUAAAAAAGCGUAAUUUUAAUUUCUCUCUCUCUCUACUUUUUUUUUUCUUCCGGAGCUGGGGACAGAACCCAGGGCCUCUCACUUGCUAGGCAAGCUCUCUACCGCUGAGCUAAAUCCCCAACCCCUCUCUCUCUACUUUUUUUUUUUUUAUUUAGAGAAUACUUUAUUAGUUUUUGUAAUCAAACCCACGUAUAUAAGACCUUAUAUAUUUAAUACAGUGUGUUACCCCUGUACAAAUGGAAAAAACUUAAGUUCAACAUUUCUAGACCAAUAUGGCUGUUAAUUUCUGUACAGUGCCAACUCAACACAGUAAACGGGGAUACUUUUUUCGAAAGUUGACAGCACAGGUAAAGUUUCAAAAAAUUCAAAUUAUAUAUCUGUAUAUAUAUAUUUAUAUUUAUAUAAAAAGACCAAUAAUAGCAGUGUGUUAUGCAUCAACAGCAGCAACAGCUUUUCCAGGUUCUGCAGUCAUCUGAACAAAACUGUAGAGACAUCCAGCACACUCCAUUAAAAAAAAAAAAAAGUAAAAAAACAAAACCCGAGAAAACAGCACAGUUCUGUUACUCUUGUGGUACAUGGCACCAUUUUUUUUUUAAAUUAGCUUCUCAAUCAUCAUCUGGAAAGAAAACAUUCUGAGCAACAUCAUUAAAAACAGCUCUGAUAAAGCACGGUCACUACUACGUAUCAUAAAGCAGGUACAAGCUAUUUUACAUCCACAGAGGUAUGAUACAGUACUGUCCUACAUCUAUAAUACUAGAGGAUACAAUUUAAAAGGCAUUAUUUGAGACUUGAUUCUACUUUUCCAGCAGAGGGCCCAAAAGAUGGUGUGACACAGCUUUGUAAAGAAACAUACUCUAGACAGGAUUUCCUUUCACUAGUGACACACUUCUAAGGAUUCAUUCUCUCCAUGAAUGUCAGCUAAAACCGUUAUUAAAAAAAUGAAAUAUCCCUAGAACAAAACCGUAUAACCACCAGAUUCACAUGAAGAUGACCUAGUGGAGACAAGCUGGACCUCACCUUACCAACAAGCUAUCAAAUCUGUUAUGUUUAAACAGUGAGACCUCCAAGGAAGGAGAUGCCAAGUAGUGCUUCAAAGCUUCGGACCACAAUCAAACACAGCAUCCUUUUCAACAGAAGCAGAAGCUCAUCUGAAUAUGCUCAUGGAUGCUGACAUCAACAUUUAAUCAUCUCCUCACUCAUCCAGGAAGAGGGGGAGAUCAGUUACUACUGUACUUUAAUGUGUUCAACCAAAUCACCAUGUUACAAAAAUAGCAAGCUGCCAUAAUAAAAAAUAAGGCUCCUCUAUCCAGCACCAGAUAGCAUCAUUUUACUUUCAAGCCUAGAAAUUGCACACUUGUAUAUAAACCAAUCGAAGAUGAGGAUUGAGAGUUCAUCUUGGUGGAUUUUUCCUUUGAUGAAUAUGAAGUGUCCUUCCUUAUCUUUUUUGAUGACUUUUAAUUGAAAAUUGAUUUUAUUUGAUAUUAGAAUGGCUACUCCAGCUUGCUUCUUCUGACCAUUUGCUUGGAAAGUUGUUUUCCAGCCUUUCACUCUGAGGUAGUGUCUGUCUUUGUCUCUGAGGUGUGUUUCCUGUAGGCAGCAGAAUGCAGGGUCCUCAUUGCGUAUCCAGUUUGUUAAUCUAUGUCUUUUUAUUGGGGAGUUGAGGCCAUUGAUAUUGAGAGAUAUUAAGGAAUAGUGAUUAUUGCUUCCUGUUAUAUUCAUAUUUGGAUGUGAGGUUAUGUUUGUGUGCUUUCAUUCUCUUUGUUUUGUUGCCAAGACGAUUAGUUUCUUGCUUCUUCUAGGGUAUAGCUUGCCUCCUUAUGUUGGGCUUUACCCUUUAUUAUCCUUUGUAGUGCUGGAUUUGUAGAAAGAUAUUGUGUAAAUUUGGUUUUGUCAUGGAAUAUCUUGGUUUCUCCAUCUAUGUUAAUUGAGAGUUUUGCAGGAUACAGUAACCUGGGCUGGCAUUUGUGUUCUCUUAGGGUCUGUAUGACAUCUGUCCAGGAUCUUCUGGCCUUCAUAGUUUCUGGCGAAAAGUCUGGUGUGAUUCUGAUAGGUCUGCCUUUAUAUGUUACUUGACCUUUUUCCCCUACUGCUUUUAAUAUUCUUUCUUUAUUUUGUGUGUUUGGUGUUUUGACAAUUAUGUGACGGGAGGUGUUUCUUUUCUGGUCCAAUCUAUUUGGAGUUCUGUAGGCUUCUUGUAUGCCUAUGGGUAUCUCUUUUUUUAGGUUAGGGAAGUUUUCUUCUAUGAUUUUGUUGAAGAUAUUUACUGGUCCUUUGAGCUGGGAGUCUUCACUCUCUUCUAUACCUAUUAUCCUUAGGUUUGAUCUUCUCAUUGAGUCCUGGAUUUCCUGUAUGUUUUGGACCAGUAGCUAUUUCCGCUUUACAUUAUCUUUGACAGUUGAGUCAAUGAUUUCUAUGGAAUCUUCUGCUCCCGAGAUUCUCUCUUCCAUCUCUUGUAUUCUGUUGGUGAAGCUUGUAUCUACAGCUCCUUGUCUUUUCUUUUGAUUUUCUAUGUCCAGGGUUGUUUCCAUGUGUUCUUUCUUGAUUGCUUCUAUUUCCAUUUUUAAUUCCUUCAACUGUUUGAUUGUGUUUUCCUGGAAUUCUUUCAGGGAUUUUUGCGAUUCCUCUCUGUAGGCUUCUACUUGUUCUCUAAGGGAGUUCUUUAUGUCUUUCUUGAAGUCCUCCAGCAUCAUGAUCAAAUAUGAUUUUGAAACUAGAUCUUGCUUUUCUGGUGUGUUUGGAUAUUCCGUGUUUGCUUUGGUGGGAGAAUUGGGCUCCGAUGAUGCCAUGUAGUCUUGGUUUCUGUUGCUUGGGUUCUUGCGCUUGCCUCUCGCCAUCAGAUUAUCUCUAGUGUUACUUUGUUCUGCUAUUUCUGACCGUGGCUAGACUGUCCUAUAAGCCUGUGUGUCAGGAGUGCUGUAGACCUGUUUUCCUGUUUUCUUUCAGCCAGUUAUGGGGACAGAGUGUUCUGCUUUCGGGCGUGUAGUUUUUCCUCUCUACAGGUCUUCAGCUGUUCCUGUGGGCCUGUGUCUUGAGUUCACCAGGCAGGUUUCUUGCAGGGGAAAAGUUGGUCCUACCUGCGGUUCCAAGGCUCAAGUUUGCUCGUGGGGUACUGCCUAAGUCCUCUCCGCGGUGGCAGCAACCGGGAAGAUCUGCGCCGCUCUUUCCGGGAGCCUCCGUGCACCAGGGUUCCAGAUGGCCUUUGGUGUUUUCCUCUGGCGUCUGGAUGUGCACAAAGUGCAGUCUCUUCUGGUUUCCCAGGCGUGUCCGCCUCUCUGAAGGUUUAGCUCUCCCUCCCACGGGAUUUGGGUGCAGAGAACUGUUUAUCCGGUCUGUUUCCUUCAGGUUCCGGCGGUGUCUCAGGCACAGGGGUCCUGCCGCUCCCGGGCCCUCCCCUACGGGAACCCAGAGGCCUUAUACAGUUGCCUCUUGGGCCAGGGAUGUGGGCAGGGGUGGGCAGUGUUGUUGGUCUCCUCCGCUCUGCAGCCUCAGGAGUGCCCACCUGAUCAGGCGGUGAGGUCUCUCUCCCACGGGGUUUGGGAGCAGAGAGCUGCUGCGGGCCGGGAUCCUCUGCAAAAUUUUAUUUUGAAUUUCUUGACCUUAGACGCCAAGGGACUCUCUGCUAUUGAGUGUCUAUGGCACCCUACAACUCAGCAUACUUAUGCCUAGGUAAAAUGGAAGGAGUCUAUGACAGGCCAAUGGUAUGGCCUCAAUCUGUUACUAAUAUGGGGCAGAGGACAGGUCUGUGUUUGUUUCCACAGGAUGCUAAAGGUGUGUGGUGGCUUCCAGAGUGACUGGUGAGACAUGCUGAUGCUGGGACAAAGAAUGAUGCUGACUGUGAGCUUGCUGAGUACUCUAACAAUGGUGGCAGGGAAGCUGUAUUCGGCAUAUGUUCCUGACCGGCCUUUGCCUGCCUGUAUCCCAGACUGGACAAGCUGCCUUGUCUCAAGCUUUUAGACCUUGUGGGACAGAGAACAUGGAGGCUGUGGAAACUGACUUUAAAAAAUUAAUCAAAUAGAGAAGUUGUUAUAAUGACCUUUCUCCUUCCUUUAAUAUGACCAGUUAUUCUGACUCAAUCAUGGACGAGUCUGGGAAUCAAACACUGGACAAAAGGAGAUAUUCCUAGGUCUUUGGCAAUCAAGUCCUGGACAUUUUCAGAAACAUAUUUGGAAGUUAGCUGUGGUUCUUUAUGAAGAUAUGUUAGCAAUAGAUAAAACUGGGAGAAGAUCUAGAUUUAGAACAAUGACAGGAUCUGGAUUUUGAACAAAUGUCAAUACAUGUGCCAAGGCUCCUCAUCUUUUGUUAAUUGGCCACGUUAAAAUUACUUUUGUUUAUUCUACCAUAUUUAAUGUAAAUUGCAUUGAUUGUACACUUUCUAAUUGUGUUAGUGUGCUGAAAUCUGGCAUGUUGUUUAUGGUGGUCUAUUGGCCAGCUUGUGUUUCAUUGCCUGUGAGUAUUAGAGGACCUUGGUAUUCUGAAAAAUGCUGGCAGAUACUGGAAGAAGCGAGUCCAGCCUUAAGCAGAAGCAAGAGGGCAGUGGGCAUGACUGCUGCCAGCGUACCAGCUUUGAUUACACUAAUAGCUAGCACUGCUUCUGCAACUGCUGAGUGUGAAGAUGAGGACGGCGCUCAGAGCAACGCGUUCUGAUGCUCUUUGCCUAUACUCAAAGUACUGGAGAGGAGGAUCAGCAUUUGAGAGUAUGAAGCCAUCAAGUGUCAUGCUAAAUGCCAAUAAGUUUGUGCCUAAAAUUUACAAUGACAAUUGCUACAACUGGGAGCAAAGUCAAAGACACUUGCAGGGUAUUUGGCAUAAUUCUAACACUUCUCUGGAUGUUUUAACUGUGCAACAACGAUAUAAUAAAUUUAAAGAAUGCUGCUCUGCUGAGUUUUAAUCCUGCGGAUACUGCUGAUAAAAUUAUUCAUGGCUUAAGGUCAGUAUUUUCAUCUUGGUCAAGCUUCAAGAAUGCACAUAUAGCUUGAUCAUGUUGGUCCUUCUUGUCCUAGGAAUACUUUUAUUCCUGCCCAUUGGGAUAAAACUUGCCUUUAAUAAUAUCAACAUGUUGGUGGCCAAAACACAUGCGAAACUAAAAAUGGAUCCCCAGACAGAGUCAUUAAUAUAACAGGCUGGCAGUCAAAGAUGGGUAAGAUUCUGCACAGAGCCUUACCCACCUAAGACAAAAGCGCAUUGCUCUUGAUAAUGCGUAUUCUAGGAUGAGUAAGUAAGACAGUUUUGUCAGAAUAUCCUAAGACAGACGCAGUCUUGUUUAUGAAAUAAAAAAGGGGAGAUGUGGAGAGCUCUUGGUGCUACUUCUAGAAAUUUGGCAAGAAUUGGACAUUAGGUCAGGACAAGAAAGUAGACUCAGAUAAUAUUUACAUUUGGGCUAACACAAAGUUCAAGGUAAACACAAGAUAGGAAUUUUGUGGCAUUCCUUUUAUCUUGGUCAUCCUGAUAAGCCCCUAGGCACAGUGACUACCGGACUUUGUUUAUCCUCACUCCUUCCUUCAAGAUCCUGUGGACUAAUUGAGCUGGCUUGUUCAAUCAACCUCUUCGAGGCUCGUUUUCCUUUUCUCCAAAAGGAAGCUGGCUAUUGAUAGGAGGGAGGUGAACAGGAGGGUGGUGAACAGAGGAGGAAAAAAAUCUACAAUAAAAACCUUAAUUGUAAAAAAAUUUUCUUUUUAAAGGGUUAAGGGUUAUCAUGCACACAUUUAAGAACUUACAAAGAUAGGCCUGGGAGAAGCAUAAUUCUCUUCAAAGAGUUUCUGGAGCGCAAACAAGGCUGCCUGUUAAGAAAAAAAAAAUAAAGAAUAUCUUUAUUUCUGAGAGAGAUCAAAGGUCAAUCUAACUGCCUGAUCAGAACCAUCCUUUCCCAAGACUUCUUUAGGUAGGAUACACUCAAAGCUGAGGAAAGGAAAUCUCCCCUAAAUGCAUAACUGUAAUGCCCAUUUCUGGGUGUCCACUGCACAUGGUAACAAAUGCUCAAUUGAAGAAAAGAGCUCAGUACUGGAGCCCUUGCCUAGCAUGAUGAACAAGGGCCUAGGUUCAAGCCCCAAACCAUUAAAAUAAUCUGAGGUCACGUAACAAGCUAAUUAUUUGCUUUGAAGAACUAAAGAGUUAACUUUUCUUUCUUUCCUCCUUCAAUCAAAAUAAACAUAUAUACAUAAAAAUGCCCUGCCUAUUCUGUCAGCCUUUUGUACACAUCAAAGGUAGGUAUGUGAACCAAAGAUGUGUAUCACUAGGAAAGACCAUCAUGAACUUGGCUUGUGAAACAGUUUCACUCUUAAAAGUGCAAGCUUUAAGUUCUAAGCAAUGAUCUUCGAUCUCUUCUUCCUUUCAUCUUCAGAGUCACUGACUUUGUUUGACAUGGAAAGUUCGUAAGUAGACAAUACCGAAUGUUGGAUGUGGUGAUGCACACCUGUAACUCUAAUACACGAGAGGCUGAAGUUAGAAGGACAUCAAGUUUGAGGCCAGCCUAUGAGACCAGUUCUAGGUCAGCCUGGGCUACAGAGCAAGACUCUGUUACAAAAAUAACAAAACUGAAAUUCUUAUUUUAUAAUGAAAAAAAAGUGAUCCUUAAAAUCUUCUUUGUUUUGCUGUUGUUGGUUGACUGGUUGGUUGUUGGUUUUGUUUUCCUUUUUUUUCAAGACAGGGUUUAACCGUGUAGCCCUAGACCAGGAUAGCCUCAAAUGCCGAGACUCACCUGCCUCUGUCUCCCAAGUGGGAGGCUGGGCCCUCCCUCAUCAACCACAGUCUUCCUUACAGGCCAAUCUAAUGGAAGCAUUUUCUCAACUUAAGUUCCCUAUUGCCAAAGGACCCUGGCUUGUACCAGGUUGACAAAAACUAAUCAGGACAGGUAAUCUUAUGUAUGUUCAUUUCACUGAGAAAUAAUAAACUGUUUAGGGCUGGAGAGAUGGCUCAAUGGUUAAUGCACAGGCUGCUCUUUCAGACGAUCCAGGUUCAAAUACCAAUACCCAUAUGACUUCAUAACCCUCUGUAACCCAGUUCCAGGUAUCCUACAUCCUCUCUGGCCUCUGUGGGCAUCAGGCAUGUAUGUGGUAUACAUGCAUACAUGCAAGCAAAAAUACCUAAACACAUGAAAUGAAAAAGAUUAAAAGAAAUGUUCUCUCUACUUCAUACUCCAAAAUAAAUAAAUUCCAAAUAUACCAAUAGGGAAACUUCUAAUAUAAAAAGCCUACAAGACAAUUCAUUGGGUAAAGGUGCCUGCUGCCCACACGAAUAACCUAAGCUUGGUCAAGAGACCACAUGGUAGAAACAGAGGCCUGACUCCCCAAGCUGUCCACUGACACUGUCUGCUGCCUGCUGAUACACUGUGGCACUUAAAUACCCACACACACACACACACACACACACACACACACAUGUAUACAAAGUAUUCUAAACAUGAAAGAUAGUUCAGUUGAUGAAACACUUGCCUUAGAAGCAUGAGGACCUGAGUUCAACACCCAGAACUCACUUAAAAGCUGGGUGUGGUGGUGCACAUGUAAUCCCAGUUCUGGGGAGGCAGAAACAGAAGGAUCCCUGGGGCUUGCUGGCUAGCCAGUCUAACUGGACAGAUCCAGAACAAUGAGAAAUCUUAAAGGAAGUGGCUAGCAUCCUUUACAGAUUUAAGGAUUCCUGAGGAUGACACAAAGCUUACCUAACAUCUUCCACAUGCCCCAUACAUGCGUAUGUACAUAUAUAAACUCAUACAUAUAGCUGCAUAAAAAAUGUAGACCGCAGAUGUAAAAACUUCUAAAUUCAGUAUUUUUCCACCAAAUUAAAAAAAAAAAACCUAACCAAAUUAAAAAAAAAAACCUAAC